rnacentral:lncRNA from 1 species
GGGGUUUAGGGUGGGUUUUGUUGUUCCCUGUGUGUUUUGUGGGUUCCUGGGGGGGUCCCUGUGUGGUUUCCGGGGUUCCCGGGGGGUCUCACCCCCCCGUGUCCCCCUGCCCAGGCCCACUGGCGCUGCCCCGAGCUGGAGGCGCAGGUGGCGGCCAUGCUGGGGCUGGUCCGGGCCGUGCGGGGGCUGCGCGAGACCUUCCGGCUCGGGGGGGCCGCCCGCCCCCCAGUGCUGGUGCAAUGCCCGGAGCCGGCUCGUGAUUGGCUGGAGCCGCUCGGCCCCGCCUUCCAGACGCUCUCAAGGGCGGGGCCUGUGGAGCUCCUCCCCCCGGGGGCGGAGCCGGGGCCGGGCUGGGCGGGGGCUCCCGCGGGUUCCGGAACCUUCGUGCACCUGCGGAUCCAGGGCCUGGUGGACCCCGCCGCCGCCCGGGCCCAGCUCCGCUCCCGCCUGCGCAGCCUCAGGGGCGCCCAGCAGCACCAGGUUCGUUAGCGGAGCCUUAAUUAGCAGCGCUAAUUAGGCCAACGGGGGGGGGGGGCGCCUCCUUAGAGCUGCCCUCGUUAGCGCUCAUGAACGCUGAUUAAUGGUUAUUAAUGGGCAUUAAUGGGCAUUAAUGGGCAUUAACCCCUCCCUCCCCAGGCCCGAGAGGAGCUGGCGCGGCUGGAGCAGAGCCUGGAGGGGCUGGAGACCCCCAGAGACCCCCGGGAACCCCAAAGGGACCCCCAGGGACCCCCCCAGGGACCCCCAGCUCGGGGGGGGCCGGGGGGUUUUAAAUAAAUGAAUUAAAAAUUAUUUAUGAGC